GGGUUGUGAGGUUAAGCGACUAAGCGUACACGGUGGAUGCCCUGGCAGUCAGAGGCGAUGAAGGACGUGCUAAUCUGCGAAAAGCGUCGGUAAGGUGAUAUGAACCGUUACAGCCGGCGAUGUCCGAAUGGGGAAACCCAGUGCAAUUCGUUGCACUAUCGUUAACUGAAUACAUAGGUUAACGAGGCGAACCGGGGGGAACUGAAACAUCUAAGUACCCCGAGGAAAAGAAAUCAACCGAGAUUCCCCCAGUAGCGGCGAGCGAACGGGGAGCAGCCCAGAGUCUGAAUCAGCUUGUGUGUUAGUGGAACGGUCUGGAAAGUCCGACGGUACAGGGUGAUAGUCCCGUACACCAAAAUGCACAGGCUGUGAACUCGAAGAGUAGGGCGGGACACGUGGUAUCCUGUCUGAAUAUGGGGGGACCAUCCUCCAAGGCUAAAUACUCCUGACUGACCGAUAGUGAACCAGUACCGUGAGGGAAAGGCGAAAAGAACCCCGGCGAGGGGAGUGAAAAAGAACCUGAAACCGUGUACGUACAAGCAGUGGGAGCACCUUCGGGUGUGACUGCGUACCUUUUGUAUAAUGGGUCAGCGACUUAUAUUCUGUAGCAAGGUUAACCGUAUAGGGGAGCCGCAGGGAAACCGAGUCUUAACUGGGCGUUAAGUUGCAGGGUAUAGACCCGAAACCCGGUGAUCUAGCCAUGGGCAGGUUGAAGGUUGGGUAACACUAACUGGAGGACCGAACCGACUAAUGUUGAAAAAUUAGCGGAUGACUUGUGGCUGGGGGUGAAAGGCCAAUCAAACCGGGAGAUAGCUGGUUCUCCCCGAAAGCUAUUUAGGUAGCGCCUCGUGAACUCAUCUUCGGGGGUAGAGCACUGUUUCGGCUAGGGGGUCAUCCCGACUUACCAACCCGAUGCAAACUACGAAUACCGAAGAAUGUUAUCACGGGAGACACACGGCGGGUGCUAACGUCCGUCGUGAAGAGGGGAAACAACCCAGACCGCCAGCUAAGGUCCCAAAGUCAUGGUUAAGUGGGAAACGAUGUGGGAAGGCACAGACAGCCAGGAUGUUGGCUUAGAAGCAGCCAUCAUUUAAAGAAAGCGUAAUAGCUCACUGGUCGAGUCGGCCUGCGCGGAAGAUGUAACGGGGCUAAACCAUGCACCGAAGCUGCGGCAGCGACACUAUGUGUUGUUGGGUAGGGGAGCGUUCUGUAAGCCUGCGAAGGUGUGCUGUGAGGCAUGCUGGAGGUAUCAGAAGUGCGAAUGCUGACAUAAGUAACGAUAAAGCGGGUGAAAAGCCCGCUCGCCGGAAGACCAAGGGUUCCUGUCCAACGUUAAUCGGGGCAGGGUGAGUCGACCCCUAAGGCGAGGCCGAAAGGCGUAGUCGAUGGGAAACAGGUUAAUAUUCCUGUACUUGGUGUUACUGCGAAGGGGGGACGGAGAAGGCUAUGUUAGCCGGGCGACGGUUGUCCCGGUUUAAGCAUGUAGGCUGGUUAUCCAGGCAAAUCCGGAUAAUCAAGGCUGAGGUGUGAUGACGAGGCACUACGGUGCUGAAGUAACAAAUGCCCUGCUUCCAGGAAAAGCCUCUAAGCAUCAGGUAACAUCAAAUCGUACCCCAAACCGACACAGGUGGUCAGGUAGAGAAUACCAAGGCGCUUGAGAGAACUCGGGUGAAGGAACUAGGCAAAAUGGUGCCGUAACUUCGGGAGAAGGCACGCUGGUGUGUAGGUGAAGUCCCUGCGGAUGGAGCUGAGACCAGUCGAAGAUACCAGCUGGCUGCAACUGUUUAUUAAAACACAGCACUGUGCAAACACGAAAGUGGACGUAUACGGUGUGACGCCUGCCCGGUGCCGGAAGGUUAAUUGAUGGGGUUAUCCGUAAGGAGAAGCUCUUGAUCGAAGCCCCGGUAAACGGCGGCCGUAACUAUAACGGUCCUAAGGUAGCGAAAUUCCUUGUCGGGUAAGUUCCGACCUGCACGAAUGGCGUAAUGAUGGCCAGGCUGUCUCCACCCGAGACUCAGUGAAAUUGAACUCGCUGUGAAGAUGCAGUGUACCCGCGGCAAGACGGAAAGACCCCGUGAACCUUUACUAUAGCUUGACACUGAACAUUGAGCCUUGAUGUGUAGGAUAGGUGGGAGGCUUUGAAGCGUGGACGCCAGUCUGCGUGGAGCCAACCUUGAAAUACCACCCUUUAAUGUUUGAUGUUCUAACGUUGGCCCUUACCGGGGUUGCGGACAGUGUCUGGUGGGUAGUUUGACUGGGGCGGUCUCCUCCCAAAGCGUAACGGAGGAGCACGAAGGUUAGCUAAUCCUGGUCGGACAUCAGGAGGUUAGUGCAAUGGCAUAAGCUAGCUUGACUGCGAGCGUGACGGCGCGAGCAGGUGCGAAAGCAGGUCAUAGUGAUCCGGUGGUUCUGAAUGGAAGGGCCAUCGCUCAACGGAUAAAAGGUACUCCGGGGAUAACAGGCUGAUACCGCCCAAGAGUUCAUAUCGACGGCGGUGUUUGGCACCUCGAUGUCGGCUCAUCACAUCCUGGGGCUGAAGUAGGUCCCAAGGGUAUGGCUGUUCGCCAUUUAAAGUGGUACGCGAGCUGGGUUUAGAACGUCGUGAGACAGUUCGGUCCCUAUCUGCCGUGGGCGCUGGAGAAUUGAGGGGGGCUGCUCCUAGUACGAGAGGACCGGAGUGGACGCAUCACUGGUGUUCGGGUUGUCAUGCCAAUGGCACUGCCCGGUAGCUAAAUGCGGAAGAGAUAAGUGCUGAAAGCAUCUAAGCACGAAACUUGCCCCGAGAUGAGUUCUCCCUGAGACUUUAAGUCUCCUGAAGGAACGUUAAAGACGAUGACGUUGAUAGGCCGGGUGUGUAAGCGCAGCGAUGCGUUGAGCUAACCGGUACUAAUGAACCGUGAGGCUUAACCUUACAACGCCGAAG
rnacentral:rRNA from 1 species